rnacentral:rRNA from 1 species
CCUACGGGAGGCAGCAGUAGGGAAUCUUGCGCAAUGGGCGAAAGCCUGACGCAGCCAUGCCGCGUGAAUGAUGAAGGUCUUAGGAUUGUAAAAUUCUUUCACCGGGGACGAUAAUGACGGUACCCGGAGAAUAAGCUCCGGCUAACUUCGUGCCAGCAGCCGCGGUAAU